rnacentral:rRNA from 1 species
CUCGUGUCGUGAGAUGUUGGGUUAAGUCCCGCAACGAGACGCAACCCUACGUUAGUUGCUAACGCGUGAAGGCGAGCACUCUAGACGAACUGCCGUUGACAAACGGAGGAAGGUGGGAUGACGUCAAAUCAUCAUGCCCUUAUGUUCUGGGCUACACACGUGCUACAAUGGCCGGUACAGACGGACGCAAAGCCGCGAGGUGGAGCAAAUCCGGAAAAAGCCGGUCUCAGUUCGGAUUGCAGGCUGCAAUUCGCCUGCAUGAAGUCGGAAUCGCUAGUAAUCGCAGGUCAGCAUACUGCGGUGAAUACGUUCCCGGGCCUU